UUAGUACUUCUUCCGUUCAACAAAAGAUGUCUCAAGUUUGUCAAAUCUGGAUGUAUCUAGACAUGACUAAGUAUAUAGAUGCAUUCGAAUUUAUUCAAAGUUGAGACAUCCUUUAUUGGACGGAGGAAGUAGUAG
rfam:Brachypodium distachyon strain Bd21 chromosome 3, whole genome shotgun sequence.